UGAUGAGAAGUGGUUAAGAGAAAAAAGAAAGAGUUACAGCUGAUUAAUAAGACGCAAUACAAGGUGAAGAAAUGGAUGGUCACACACACACGUUGAGAGGUCAUUUGAUUUCAUCUAAUAAAUGAAGUUGAGGACACUGGAUAAUGAUUACUGUUGAACAAGUGAGAAGCAAAAGAUGUGUCGCCAAUUUUAAUUAACAGGUUGGUCACAAUUAAUGAUGGACUUGUCAAUAUUCACAUCCGUCUGGCGAAACCACCCAAAGCAAAAAUGGUAGCUAAGCAUAACAAACUCAAUAGCAACUAUAAAAUCUCAAAGGAUUAAUCUUGUCUUGGCCAUGCAAAUGUCCUUUAAUCUGAUGGAUAAUUCUUAAUAGUAAAAUUAAGAUUGAUUAUUAUCACCGGAGGAUCUGAUGCAUUUAAAUAUACUGAUAUUAAUUUAUCAUCGUCUCAAAUUAAAAAGCUUAAUCAGUUGAAUCCAAGCAACUUAUCAUAAAAUAUCAUCGGUAACCCACAUUUGGAUGGUCAAAGAGGAGUACAUGAAAGAUUCAAAGAAAGGUCGCCAUUUAUCACGAUGGUUACAUUUGAUUGUCAUUGGACUCAACUAGUUACAAUUUAAACCAAACUACAUCCAAAUACCAGGACAAGAUUAACUACACAAUCAGAAAAGUUAAACUUGAAGAUUUUACCUUUGAUUAUCCAAGCAAAUACCAAUAUGGAUUACAAGUUGAACAAUUUCGUGCAAACCAAUUAAUAACCAUAUUCAACGGGAAAUGUACAAACACCAAUUGGACGGAGGUUAAGAAGAAAGUUAAACGAAGUAAGCGUGACUCGAGGAAACUGGAAACUUUACCAUCUAAUUAAAAUGCUACGUCGGAGUAACACGUUAAAUUAACUCUGAAUUUUUACCCUUUCCAGCUUUCUAAAGCAUCACAAAUCAAGCUCAACAAUUGAAAGUGAUUAAUCCAUUUUGAUGUUGAAUUAGGAAAGUGUUGGGUCAAUGAAAAGAUGAUCUUACAUUAAACCGAUCAUCAUCAACAUCAUGAUUGUUCCUCUAAUACAUAUCAUUCUACUGACCAACAACAACGUUCUUCUCUCUCUAUCACCAUCACCAUCAUAAACAUAAUCAUCUUAUCCAUUUUGAUUGCCUUAAGACGGAAUGGUCACGACAUUAAUUAUGAUUACGACUCUUGUGUCCGUCUUAAUCACUAAUUUACUCGUUUCCCUGUGCCUUUUGUCUGAGCUUUGCCUGUACUCAAUUCAUUUAAACUGAUUGAUAUUUUGUUUUCCCUUUUCUUUACCAUUUUAUCAUGCUUAUUAUUAUUAUAUUUUUUUUCUAUUAACCGUGUUGUUUUCAAUAUCAAAGGCUACAUCAUUAAUACCAUACAAUUAAGUCUAAAGCAAGAUUUGAUGGCAAAGUUGAACAAUGUUUUUUCAUUUCUUUAAAAAUUGAUUGGUUCACACUUCAUAUUCAUCUUGUAAACCAUAUGCUGUCCAAUUGAUUUUGGAAUAAUCUAAUCACACUUCAACAAUCGAAAAUUUCAAUUAGUAUUGUUUAUAAGAUGUCAUGUUUGAUUACCCAUUAUUGUCUGAUUCCAAUAGUCAAUUUGAUUUCAACAUUUUGUUCAAACUUAACGAUAAUUUGAAAAAUAACAUCUCCAUCUU